AGCAUUCCUCCGAGUCGUCAAAGGGGUUGUGAAAUGUUCAUUGUAAGCAAAUCCAUAUCACAGCCAGCUUUGAUGAUUUUGAUAAAAUGC
rnacentral:pre_miRNA from 1 species